rnacentral:rRNA from 1 species
GUGGGGAAUCUUCCGCAAUGGACGAAAGUCUGACGGAGCGACGCCGCGUGAGUGAAGAAGGCCUUCGGGUCGUAAAGCUCUGUCAUCAGGGACGAACGGCCGGUGGAGUGGAAAGCCACCGGAUUGACGGUACCUGAGAAGGAAGCCACGGCUAACUACGUGCCAGCAGCCGCGGUAAUACGUAGGUGGCAAGCGUUGUCCGGAAUUAUUGGGCGUAAAGCGCGCGCAGGUGGGAUCUUAAGUCCAUUUUGAAAGUUCGGAGCUCAACUCCGUGAUGGGAUGGAAACUGGGAUUCUUGAGUACCGGAGAGGAAAGCGGAAUUCCCCGUGUAGCGGUGAAAUGCGUAGAUAUGGGGAGGAACACCAGUGGCGAAGGCGGCCUGCUGGACGACAACUGACGCUGAGGAGCGAAAGCGUGGGGAGCAAACAGGAUUAGAUACCCCGGUAGUCC